GGGAGUGGUGCUCAGCAUCCAUGAUAUCACUGCAGAAACGCUGGUCGAUGCUCUCAACACAGUUAUUAAUGACAGCAGCUGUAAGCAAAGAAUGGAGAAGCUGUCGGCCAUACACAAUGACCGUCCCAUGCAGCCCCUGGAUCUUGCGGUCUACUGGACAGAGUUUGUUAUGAGACACAAAGGGGCAGACCACCUGAGACCUGCUGCUCAUGACCUGAACUGGCUUCAAUACCACAGUCUAGAUGUGAUUGGCUUCCUGCUUUUUAUUGCGCUGAUUGUAACUCUAGCAACAUUUAAAUGCUGUGCACUUUGCUGGAGACGCUGUUGUAGAAAAUCGCAGAAGAGGAAGGAAGACUGAUCAUAUAGAGAUUAAAAGGUGGUAUUGCUUAUAAAGGCACACAUUUUCCACAUCUACUGUUUCAUUUCACAUUUUCAGAAGAACAGUUAUUUUCGUCACCUGACAACUGAGCCAGUAAAGUCUCUUAAAAAGCCGCAGUUUUGUAAAGUGGGAGCACACAUCAAGAUUUUUAAGCAGUUUCACCUGUAAAGAUUUUGUUUCUUAAGAUAUUAGUUUUACAUGCUUUCGUUUUGAUAUCACUGACCACUGUUCAGUGUUCAUCUAAAACUGUAUGCCACCAGCAUUUGUUUUUAAAUAAUUCAAUGCAAACCACUGUAAGCUAAACAGACUGCAGAUUCUGUCUCUCAUAAUCAAGAAGAAUUCUGUUAAAAAAAUUCUCCUAAUUAACCCUAAUCUGGGAAGAUGGAGUGUUUAAUAUGACACAAAUGAAAGGUUGUGAAAGAGAAAUAUAAGCUUGUCUAAUUUUAAUAACCAAUGUUUUCUGUAAUUUUUUAAAUACAAAGGUCCAAUAACAGAGUUUUCCAUUUCCAUGCUUCAUCGACCUUAUGAUCAACAUCAAAGCAUUCAGCAUUUUUUUAUAUGAACUGAAUUGCAUUUUUCGCUGUAAUUUCCCUCCUAAAUGACCACCAAUCAAUAUUUGUAUAAACAGCUAAUUGUUGUGCACUUGUAGCCAUGAUCUGAAAAAUCACUCUAAACUUGAAAAAAUAAAAUUCUAAAAUAUGAA